rnacentral:rRNA from 1 species
CUGCCCAGAAGCGGGGGACAACAUUUGGAAACAGAUGCUAAUACCGCAUAGCAACGUUGUUCGCAUGAACAACGCUUAAAAGAUGGCUUCUCGCUAUCACUUCUGGAUGGACCUGCGGUGCAUUAGCUUGUUGGUGGGGUAACGGCCUACCAAGGCGAUGAUGCAUAGCCGAGUUGAGAGACUGAUCGGCCACAAUGGGACUGAGACACGGCCCAUACUCCUACGGGAGGCAGCAGUAGGGAAUCUUCCACAAUGGGCGCAAGCCUGAUGGAGCAACACCGUUUGAGUGAAGAAGGGUUUCGGCUCGUAAAGCUCUGUUGUUAAAGAAGAACACGUAUGAGAGUAACUGUUCAUACGUUGACGGUAUUUAACCAGAAAGUCACGGCUAACUACGUGCCAGCAGCCGCGGUAAUACGUAGGUGGCAAGCGUUAUCCGGAUUUAUUGGGCGUAAAGAGAGUGCAGGCGGUUUUCUAAGUCUGAUGUGAAAGCCUUCGGCUUAACCGGAGAAGUGCAUCGGAAACUGGAUAACUUGAGUGCAGAAGAGGGUAGUGGAACUCCAUGUGUAGCGGUGGAAUGCGUAG